rnacentral:rRNA from 1 species
CGGGGUCCAGUCUGUAGCAAUACAGAGGAAAACCUAGUGGCGAACGGGUGAGGAACACGUGAGGAAUCUGUCCCGAACUCUGGGAUAACAGUUGGAAACGACUGCUAAUACCGGAUGCCGUCAUUGGAUCGCAUGAUUUGAUGACGAAAGAAUUUCGGUUCGGGAGGAUCUCGCGGCCUAUCAGCUUGUUGGUGGGGUAAUGGCCUACCAAGGCAUCGACGGGUAGCUGGUCUGAGAGGAUGAUCAGCCACACUGGGACUGAGACACGGCCCAGACUCCUACGGGAGGCAGCAGUGGGGAAUCUUGCGCAAUGGGCGAAAGCCUGACGCAGCAACGCCGCGUGCGGGAAGAAGGCCUUCGGGUCGUAAACCGCUUUCAGCAGGAACGAAAAUGACGGUACCUGCAGAAGAAGGUGCGGCCAACUACGUGCCAGCAGCCGCGGUGACACGUAGGCACCAAGCGUUGUCCGGAUUCAUUGGGCGUAAAGAGCUCGUAGGCGGUUCAGCAAGUCGGGUGUGAAAACUCUGGGCUUAACCCAGAGCCUGCAUCCGAAACUGCUGUGACUUGAGUUCGGUAGGGGAGCGGGGAAUUCCUGGUGUAGCGGUGAAAUGCGCAGAUAUCAGGAGGAACACCGGUGGCGAAGGCGCCGCUCUGGGCCGACACUGACGCUGAGGAGCGAAAGCAUGGGUAGC